rnacentral:rRNA from 1 species
AGUGAACGCUGGCGGUAGGCCUAACACAUGCAAGUCGAGCGGCAGCACGGUAAGAGCUUGCUCUUACGGGUGGCGAGUGGCGGACGGGUGAGGAAUACAUCGGAAUCUACUUUUUCGUGGGGGAUAACGUAGGGAAACUUACGCUAAUACCGCAUACGACCUACGGGUGAAAGCAGGGGAUCUUCGGACCUUGCGCGAUUGAAUGAGCCGAUGUCGGAUUAGCUAGUUGGCGGGGUAAAGGCCCGCCAAGGCGACGAUCCGUAGCUGGUCUGAGAGGAUGAUCAGCCACACUGGAACUGAGACACGGUCCAGACUCCUACGGGAGGCAGCAGUGGGGAAUAUUGGACAAUGGGCGCAAGCCUGAUCCAGCCAUACCGCGUGGGUGAAGAAGGCCUUCGGGUUGUAAAGCCCUUUUGUUGGGAAAGAAAAGCAGCAGGUUAAUACCCCGCUGUUCUGACGGUACCCAAAGAAUAAGCACCGGCUAACUUCGUG